CUAUGAUGAUGGCAGUAUUUUUCAUCAACAUCAGUUCACUUAGUGAGUUUUGAUACUUUGGGUCUGAGUUA
ensembl:snoRNA